AUACGGGGGUUUGAAUUUUCUUUUCCUUGGGAAACGCCCACUGAGGGCGCGAGGAAGUUGCAGUUCGCUAAUGCGAAAGUUAUUUUGCAGGCUUUUUUAAAAAAAAGAUUUUUUUUUCCUCCUAGUUUUGGGGCGUGGGGAAUUCAAGACUCCCGAUUUAAGCCAUGGUUCCAGAUCAUUCCUCCAGAGGAGGAUUUCCCUUACUAAAUCUGCUUCUUUGAGGCUAUAGUCCUAGAUACAAUUAUUUAAAAAUAAAUCCUGUUGAGCCUCCGAGGGGAUGAUCUACACAGGAUUGCAAAGUAACUCCCGAGAUUUUCAUAUAGAAUGUGAAAGAAAAAAGAAAAUUAGAAGUAAAGCCAGAUGAAUAUGAGGUACGAAAAAGAGGAUUUAGCUUCAAAUAAUUAGGUAGUCACAAAGAUUCCAUGGAUGAGAAUCCUCCAGGGGAAAACAACGCAAGAAGCUUGGGAAAUUUUGAAAAGCAAGAUAAUAGAAGCCCAGUCUAGCUCAAUACCAACGAAGAGGAAAAAUAAC